rfam:Brassica oleracea var. oleracea cultivar TO1000 chromosome C9, whole genome shotgun sequence
GUUGAGGGGAAUGUUGUUUGGAUCGAGGAUAUCAUCAUAUGCAUAAUGCAUACAUAUAAUUGUGCAUAUAUGUAAUUCUCGGACCAGGCUUCAUCCCCCUCAAC